CCAGGAGCCCAAGGCUUCUAGGGCUCCGGCCGCUUCCGAGGGUGUCAGUGGGAGGCCUGCGGGCGGUGGGUGAAGGGCUGGCCCGGGCGGCAGGGCUGGGCGGGCGACCCUUCCCCCCCGAGGGCCCGUGCUUGGGUGGCCAGGCCUCGGGUGGAGGGUUGCGGGUCUUGGAGGCCUGGGGCGGUGUCUGAGGGGAUGAAGGGAUUAGCGCACCCGCUGGUGCGUUGUCCCCAGCCCACGUCCGGCAGCGAGAUGCUGUUUGCCCGUGUUGCAAAGCGUCGGCUGUCGUGGUCAUUCCUCUCCAGGCCUCACGGAGUCAAAGCUUCCGGGAAAAAUUCAUCAUGACACUUGUCCCAUAUCCUUGCUCUACCUCACUUUCACCAGGACCAGUGCAAGAACUCCUAUGGUCCUGGGUGGGGACAGGCUGGGACACUUGGAGCGACCAAUGGCUACACACAACACAAACCUGCUCAGACGGAGGCUACCACUGGCUUUGAUGCCUGGCGAGAGGACCCUGUGGUUCCAUGUCAACUAGGACCAAUAUUGCCACCUCAUCACCUGAGCAGGCGACAUAAUUCCGUGCCCUACCUCCCCUGCUCCCAGGCUGGCAGCUCCAGGAUGUCCCCUCUCUGCCCACACUUUGAAGGAAGAAGGAAUUUCCCAGGUAACAGCUUGUUUCUCACUGGCCCUGCCUGGACUACUUGUCCAUCCCCUGGACAGUGACUGACCAGAGGAGAAGAAAAAACUGCUGGCCCAGUCAUGACACCCAGGCCUGCAUGAAGGGAAGCAGGUCUGUGGCCAGAGGGGGGAAGGCACUGGCAAUAUAGCCUAUGGUACUUUGCCACAUCUCCACGUUCCUUUAUCAACAAAAAGAAAA